rnacentral:rRNA from 1 species
AUUGAACGCUGGCGGCAGGCCUAACACAUGCAAGUCGAGCGGAUGACGGGAGCUUGCUCCUGGAUUCAGCGGCGGACGGGUGAGUAAUGCCUAGGAAUCUGCCUGGUAGUGGGGACAACGUUUCGAAAGGAACGCUAAUACCGCAUACGUCCUACGGGAGAAAGCAGGGGACCUUCGGGCCUUGCGCUAUCAGAUGAGCCUAGGUCGGAUUAGCUAGUUGGUGAGGUAAUGGCUCACCAAGGCGACGAUCCGUAACUGGUCUGAGAGGAUGAUCAGUCACACUGGAACUGAGACACGGUCCAGACUCCUACGGGAGGCAGCAGUGGGGAAUAUUGGACAAUGGGCGAAAGCCUGAUUCAGCCAUGCCGCGUGUGUGAAGAAGGUCUUCGGAUUGUAAAGCACUUUAAGUUGGGAGGAAGGGUUGUAGAUUAAUACUCUGCAAUUUUGACGUUACCGACAGAAUAAGCACCGGCUAACUCUGUGCCAGCCGCCGCCGUAA